GUCUGUGUAGUAUAUUAAUUACCCUGGUCUUGUAAACCAGAAAAGAGGAAAAACAA
rnacentral:tRNA from 1 species